rnacentral:rRNA from 2 species
UUUCAACAAUGGAUCUCUUGGUUCCGGCAUCGAUGAAGAACGCAGCGAAAUGCGAUAAGUAAUGUGAAUUGCAGAAUUCCGUGAAUCAUCGAAUCUUUGAACGCACAUUGCGCCCC